GUCUACGGCCAUGCCACCCUGAACGUGCCUGAUCCUGUUUGAUCUUGGAAGCUAAGCAGGGUCGGCCACCUAGGAAUAUCAGGUGCUGUAGGCG
rnacentral:rRNA from 1 species